UGGAGGUACAACCCCAGUGGCUGCCUUAGCUCUGGAAUCCUGGAUUCAGCUCAGGCAGGAACUACUCCGUCUGCAGGGUCUGGAGGCUCCGGGGCAGG
rnacentral:pre_miRNA from 1 species